CACUCAUUCAAAGAGUGCGUAAUAGCUCACUGGUCGAGUGAUCCUGCGCCGAAGAUUUCCGGGGCUAAAACUUACUACCGAAGCUACGGCAUCAGUAAUGAUGGGUAGGGGAGCUUCCCAUACGGGUUGAAGCAUGACCGUAAGGACAUGUGGACAGUAUGGGAGUGAGAAUGUUGGCAUGAGUAGCGAGAUGUGGGUGAGAAUCCCACAGGCCGUAAACCCAAGGUUUCCAGGGGAAGGUUCGUCCGCCCUGGGUUAGUCGGGACCUAAGCUGAGGCCGAAAGGCGUAGGUGAUGGACAACAGGUUGAUAUUCCUGUACUACCGAUAACCGUUUGAGAGAUGGGAUGACACAGUAGGAUAAGCUAAGCACACUGUUGGUUAUGUGUGCCCAAGCAUUGAGGCAGUCAAAGUAGGUAAAUCCGCUUUGAUAAUGCUGGGAUGUGAUGGGGAGCGAAAUUUAGUAGCGAAGUAGCUGAUUUCACACUGUCAAGAAAAGUCUCUAUCGAGGUUAAAGGUACCCGUACCGCAAACCGACACAGGUGGGUGAGGAGAGUAUCCUAAGGCCAGCGAGAGAACUGUUGUUAAGGAACUCGGCAAAAUGACCCCGUAACUUAGGGAUAAGGGGUGCCACCAUCAGGUGGCCGCAGAGAAUAGGCCCAAGCGACUGUUUACCAAAAACAUAGGUUUCUGCUAAGUCGCAAGACGAUGUAUAGGAGCUGACGCCUGCCCGGUGCUGGAAGGUUAAGGGGAUCUGUUAGAGCAAUCGAAGCAGUGAACUUAAGCCCCAGUAAACGGCGGCCGUAACUAUAACGGUCCUAAGGUAGCGAAAUUCCUUGUCGGGUAAGUUCCGACCCGACCGAAAGGCGUAACGAUUUGGGCACUGUCUCAACAACAGACUCGGUGAAAUUGUAAUUCCGGUGAAGAUGCCGGAUACCUGCGACAGGACGGAAAGACCCCAUGGAGCUUUACUGUAGCUUGACAUUGGGUCUUGGUACUACAUGUACAGGAUAGGUGGGAGGCUUUGAAACCAGGACGCCAGUUUUGGCGGAGCCAUCCUUGGGAUACCACCCUUGUAGUACUGGGACUCUAACCAUAG
rnacentral:rRNA from 1 species